rnacentral:sRNA from 1 species
UGCUUACAAUCUUGCAGGUCGGUGAGC